GGAAAAACUAAACGGCCGCGGAAUUUUAACCGUGCUAAGGUAGCAUAAUCAUUUGUCUUUUAAUUGAAGACCUGUAUGAAUGGUUUUACAAAAUUUAGCUGUCUCUUUUAUAAUAAAUAAAAAUUAUUUUUAAAGUUAAAAAUCUUUAAUUAUAUAAAAAGACAAAAAGACCCCAUAGAGUUUUAUUCUUUAGUAUAUACUAUAUAAAAGAAUUUAGUUGGGGUAACUAAAGAAAAGUAAAUUUUCUUUUAAGUAAAAUAUUAUUAUAUCAUUUAUUAAAUAAAACAAAAUAAAUUACCUUGGGGGUAACAGCGUAAGUUUUUUUGAGAGUUCAAAUCGAAAAAAAAAAUUAC
rnacentral:rRNA from 1 species